CUAUAGCCCACGCCUUCAGCCGUGGCCCCACGCCCCCGGACCCGGAUCGUCUAACAUUUUUCUCGAACAUCAAAUACGGCCAAAGGAACCACAGUCACCGCCCCUCCAUGACCAAAUUACAUUUUUUGGNNAGAAUUUUUCUCGGACAUCAAAUACGGCCAAAGAACCAUAGUCACUGCCCCUCCUUGACCAAAUUACAAUUUUUGGAAGUAUACGGCCAUAAAAUUGGUAAUCCGCGCGAGUCCCAAAUUUUCGUGUGCUAUAGCCCACGCCUUCAGCCGUGACCUCGUGCCCCCGGACCCGAAUCGUCUAAAUAUUUUCUCGGACAUCAAAUACGGCCAAAGGAACCAUAGUCACCACCCCU
rnacentral:lncRNA from 1 species